UUGAACGCUGGCGGCAUGCCUUACACAUGCAAGUCGAACGGCAGCACGGGAGCAAUCCUGGUGGCGAGUGGCGAACGGGUGAGUAAUACAUCGGAACGUGCCCAAUCGUGGGGGAUAACGCAGCGAAAGCUGUGCUAAUACCGCAUACGAUCUACGGAUGAAAGCAGGGGAUCGCAAGACCUUGCGCGAAUGGAGCGGCCGAUGGCAGAUUAGGUAGUUGGUGAGGUAAAGGCUCACCAAGCCUUCGAUCUGUAGCUGGUCUGAGAGGACGACCAGCCACACUGGGACUGAGACACGGCCCAGACUCCUACGGGAGGCAGCAGUGGGGAAUUUUGGACAAUGGGCGAAAGCCUGAUCCAGCCAUGCCGCGUGCAGGAUGAAGGCCUUCGGGUUGUAAACUGCUUUUGUACGGAACGAAAAGUCUCUUUCUAAUAAAGAGGGAUCAUGACGGCACCGUAAGAAUAAGCACCGGCUAACUACGU
rnacentral:rRNA from 1 species